rnacentral:rRNA from 1 species
CCGUAACUAUAACGGUCCUAAGGUAGCGAAAUUCCUUGUCGGGUAAGUUCCGACCUGCACGAAUGGCAUAAUGAUGGCCAGGCUGUCUCCACCCGAGACUCAGUGAAAUUGAAAUCGCCGUGAAGAUGCGGUGUACCCGCGGCUAGACGGAAAGACCCCGUGAACCUUUACUAUAGCUUGACACUGAACAUUGAAUUUUGAUGUGUAGGAUAGGUGGGAGACUUAGAAGUAGUCACGCCAGUGAUUAUGGAGUCGUCCUUGAAAUACCACCCUUUAACGUUUGAUGUUCUAACGAAGAUUACGAAACGUGGUCUCGGACAGUGUCUGGUGGGUAGUUUGACUGGGGCGGUCUCCUCCCAAAGAGUAACGGAGGAGCACGAAGGUUUGCUAAUGACGGUCGGACAUCGUCAGGUUAGUGCAAUGGUAUAAGCAAGCUUAACUGCGAGACAGACAAGUCGAGCAGGUACGAAAGUAGGUCAUAGUGAUCCGGUGGUUCUGAAUGGAAGGGCCAUCGCUCAACGGAUAAAAGGUACUCCGGGGAUAACAGGCUGAUACCGCCCAAGAGUUCAUAUCGACGGCGGUGUUUGGCACCUCGAUGUCGGCUCAUCACAUCCUGGGGCUGAAGUAGGUCCCAAGGGUAUGGCUGUUCGCCAUUUAAAGUGGUACGCGAGCUGGGUUUAGAACGUCGUGAGACAGUUCGGUCCCUAUCUGCCGUGGGCGUUGGAGAAUUGAAAGGGGCUGCUCCUAGUACGAGAGGACCGGAGUGGACGCACCACUGGUGUUCCGGUUGUGUCGCCAGACGCAUUGCCGGGUAGCUAAGUGCGGAAGAGAUAAGUGCUGAAAGCAUCUAAGCACGAAACUUGCCAAGAGAUGAGUUCUCCCAGAUUACCAAUCUGUAAGGGUUGUUUAAGACUAAGACGUAGAUAGGUCUGGUGUGUAAGCGGUGCGAGCCGUUGAGCUAACAGAUACUAAUUGCCCGAGAGGCUUAACUAU